AAAAGAAGUAUGUUACCAAGUUCGGAGUAGGCAAGGCGAAUGAACAAAUCAGCCGCCCCCUCCAUGGAGUAUUCUUGAAUAUCAAUUAAGCUUCUAUUCCAAUGCAUACAACCAAUGCCUGUGUAGUAUGAAUAUGCCUUGCAGGAACAGUUACUUAAACAGUCACUUUCACAGUCUUCUUUCGCAGAGGAUACCCAAAUUACAAAAUCUGGUACUCCCAUUGUCUGCAUCUUCAAAAACCCAUCCUUUUUGCCCUUCUCAACAUCAGUUUUGUUCCUUUCACAGUCUAAUGCAGUCC